rnacentral:rRNA from 1 species
AUUGAACGCUGGCGGCAGGCUUAACACAUGCAAGUCGAGCGGAGAUGAGGUGCUUGCACCUUAUCUUAGCGGCGGACGGGUGAGUAAUGCUUAGGAAUCUGCCUAUUAGUGGGGGACAACAUUCCGAAAGGAAUGCUAAUACCGCAUACGUCCUACGGGAGAAAGCAGGGGAACUUCGGACCUUGCGCGAAUAGAUGAGCCUAAGUCGGAUUUGCUAGUUGGGGGGGUAAGGGCCUACCAAGGCGACGAUCUGUAGCGGGUCGGAGAGGAUGAUCCGCCACACUGGGACUGAGACACGGCCCAGACUCCUACGGGAGGCAGCAGUGGGGAAUAUUGGACAAUGGGGGGAACCCUGAUCCAGCCAUGCCGCGUGUGUGAAGAAGGCCUUAUGGUUGUAAAGCACUUCAAGCGAGGAGGAGGCUACUGAGACUAAUACUCUUGGAUAGUGGACGUUACUCGCAGAAUAAGCACCGGCUAACUCUGUGCCAGCAGCCGCAGUAA